rnacentral:rRNA from 1 species
UUCUCGUAAAGCUGUUCACAGUUCGGAUCGGGGUCUGCAACUCGACCCCGUGAAGUUGGAUUCGCUAGUAAUCGCGUAUCAGCAAUGACGCGGUGAAUACGUUCCCGGGCCUUGUACACACCGCCCGUCAAGCCAUGGAAGCUGGGGGUACCUGAAGUACGUAACCGUAAGGGGCGUCCUAGGGUAAAAUCGGUAACUGGGGCUAAGUCGUAACAAGGUA